UACGUAGGUGACAAGCGUUGUCCGGAUUUACUGGGCGUAAAGAGCGCGCAGGCGGUCGAUCAAGUCGAGUGUGAAAGCCCCCGGCUCAACUGGGGAGGGUCAUUCGAUACUGAUCGACUCGAAGGCAGGAGAGGGUAGUGGAAUUCCCGGUGUAGUGGUGAAAUGCGUAGAUAUCGGGAGGAACACCAGUGGCGAAGGCGGCUUUCUGGCCUGUUCUUGACGCUGAGGCGCGAAAGCCAGGGGAGCAAACGGG
rnacentral:rRNA from 1 species